AGAGUUUGAUCCUGGCUCAGGACGAACGCUGGCGGCGUGCUUAACACAUGCAAGUCGAACGGAAAGGCCCUUCGGGGUACUCGAGUGGCGAACGGGUGAGUAACACGUGGGUGAUCUGCCCUGCACUUUGGGAUAAGCCUGGGAAACUGGGUCUAAUACCGAAUAUGACCAUGCACCUCCUGGUGUGUGGUGGAAAGCUUUUGCGGUGUGGGAUGGGCCCGCGGCCUAUCAGCUUGUUGGUGGGGUAAUGGCCUACCAAGGCGACGACGGGUAGCCGGCCUGAGAGGGUGACCGGCCACACUGGGACUGAGAUACGGCCCAGACUCCUACGGGAGGCAGCAGUGGGGAAUAUUGCACAAUGGGCGCAAGCCUGAUGCAGCGACGCCGCGUGAGGGAUGACGGCCUUCGGGUUGUAAACCUCUUUCAGCACAGACGAAGCGCAAGUGACGGUAUGUGCAGAAGAAGGACCGGCCAACUACGUGCCAGCAGCCGCGGUAAUACGUAGGGUCCGAGCGUUGUCCGGAAUUACUGGGCGUAAAGAGCUCGUAGGUGGUUUGUCGCGUUGUUCGUGAAAACUCACAGCUUAACUGUGGGCGUGCGGGCGAUACGGGCAGACUUGAGUACUGCAGGGGAGACUGGAAUUCCUGGUGUAGCGGUGGAAUGCGCAGAUAUCAGGAGGAACACCGGUGGCGAAGGCGGGUCUCUGGGCAGUAACUGACGCUGAGGAGCGAAAGCGUGGGGAGCGAACAGGAUUAGAUACCCUGGUAGUCC
rnacentral:rRNA from 1 species